CCCCAGACUCCUACGGGAGGCAGCAGUGGGGAAUAUUGCACAAUGGGGGAAACCCUGAUGCAGCGACGCCGCGUGAGCGAUGAAGUAUUUCGGUAUGUAAAGCUCUAUCAGCAGGGAAGAAGAUGACGGUACCUGACUAAGAAGCCCCGGCUAACUACGUGCCAGCAGCCGCGGUAAUACGUAGGGGGCAAGCGUUAUCCGGAUUUACUGGGUGUAAAGGGAGCGUAGACGGCGAUGCAAGCCAGAUGUGAAAGCCCGGGGCUCAACCCCGGGACUGCAUUUGGAACUGUGUGGCUGGAGUGUCGGAGAGGCAGGCGGAAUUCCUAGUGUAGCGGUGAAAUGCGUAGAUAUUAGGAGGAACACCAGUGGCGAAGGCGGCCUGCUGGACGAUGACUGACGUUGAGGCUCGAAAGCGUGGGGAGCAAACAGGAUUAGAUACCCCCGUACAG
rnacentral:rRNA from 1 species